CGAACGCUGGCGGCGUGCCUAAUACAUGCGAGUAGAACGCUGAAGAGAGGAGCUUGCUCUUCUUGGAUGAGUUGCGAACGGGUGAGUAACGCGUAGGUAACCUGCCUGGUAGCGGGGGAUAACUAUUGGAAACGAUAGCUAAUACCGCAUGAUAUUAAUUGUCGCAUGAUAAUUAAUUGAAAGAUGCAAUUGCAUCACUACCAGAUGGACCUGCGUUGUAUUAGCUAGUUGGUGAGGUAACGGCUCACCAAGGCGACGAUACAUAGCCGACCUGAGAGGGUGAUCGGCCACACUGGGACUGAGACACGGCCCAGACUCCUACGGGAGGCAGCAGUAGGGAAUCUUCGGCAAUGGGGGGAACCCUGACCGAGCAACGCCGCGUGAGUGAAGAAGGUUUUCGGAUCGUAAAGCUCUGUUGUAAGAGAAGAACGGGUGUGAGAGUGGAAAGUUCACACUGUGACGGUAUCUUACCAGAAAGGGACGGCUAACUACGUGCCAGCAGCCGCGGUAAUACGUAGGUCCCGAGCGUUGUCCGGAUUUAUUGGGCGUAAAGCGAGCGCAGGCGGUUAGAUAAGUCUGAAGUUAAAGGCUGUGGCUUAACCGUAGUAUGCUUUGGAAACUGUUUAACUUGAGUGCAGAAGGGGAGAGUGGAAUUCCAUGUGUAGCGGUGAAAUGCGUAGAUAUACGGAGGAACACCGGUGGCGAAAGCGGCUCUCUGGUCUGUAACUGACGCUGAGGCUCGAAAGCGUGGGGAGCAAACAGGAUUAGAUACCCUGGUAGUCCACGCCGUAAACGAUGAGUGCUAGGUGUUAGGCCCU
rnacentral:rRNA from 1 species